rnacentral:lncRNA from 1 species
CAAAAACCUCGAUACAGACUUCAUCCAGGACCACGAACACACAGAAACAUGAUCGGAUCGUCUUCGAGGCUCUGAUACCAUGUUAACAUCAAGAUUGAACGAAAGAAUCAUACAAAUUAUAGAGAGAGAAAGUAGAGAGAAGGAGGAGAGUAGGUGAGAAGUCUCUCGAAUGUCAGAGAGAGAAUUGUAUUAACCGAGAAGAAAAAUAAACGAAAUGAAGUCCGGGGGUCACUAAUGUCGGUGACCCCAAAAUAUAUAAUUACACACGUAGGUCGGGUCAAUGACCCAGCUAGAAUAAAGAAUGGACGGGUCACAUAUCUGGGCUCAGAUAUGACUCUCAGCUAUUGAGCUAGGGGAAAGGCCCAAUCUUAGACAUUAUCAUCACUGCCCAUAUUGU